AGUGGGGAUUGGAGGAACAUCAGACAUUCUGAUGUUCGACAUUUUCAAGGGACGAAGAAGAACCCAUUCAAGUUUUGUAGAAAUUCAACAAAUUGAAGGGAUUUUGGCAUGAUAAUUAAAUGCAUGGAUCAAGAUUUAGAAUUAUCUGUCCCUAACAAACAUGUGGUCAUCGAAUUUGGGAAAGGACAUAAGGGGAUAAACAUGAUCACUUGGUAAUUAAGGUUUGAGCUUAAAGUCAAGCAAGGACUUGAAGACUCCAGGUAAGUGAUUCCCGAGCUCAACUUCUUAUUAUGUAAAUGAAAGCUUAUGUAUAUAAGAAUGGAAUCAUGAAAGGAUGGAUAGAUAAUAGUGGCGCAAAGGUAAGGAAUGUUGUAACGGGUCAUUUGUAUUUUAAUUAUGCUUGAAACCA